GAUGAAGAACGUAGCGAAAUGCGAUAAGUAAUGCGAAUUGCAGAAUUUCCGUGAGUCAUCGAAUCUUUGAACGCACAUUGCGCCCACUGGUAUUCCGGUGGGCAUGCCUGUUCGAGCGUCAUUAUCCUCCCUCAAAACUCCUGUUUUGGUGUUGGGCCGCGUUGGUCACCUCCGACCAACGGGCCUUAAAGACAAUGACGGCGUCCGUGGGACCCUCUUCGCAGUGAGCUUUUGUUAGCGCGCGUUGAGUUUAAAGGACCCUCCGGGCCGACCACCUUUAUCUAUUUUACAAGGUUGACCUCGGAUCAGGUAGGAAUACCCGCUGAACUUAAGCAUAUCAAUAAGCGGAGGA
rnacentral:misc_RNA from 1 species